GGAACGGCCUUUUGCCUUUGCGUCUCUUGCAGAGAAAGGAGGAGAGCAGUGCAGGAGGAGAUCAGAUCACGAGACGAGAUGGCGGCGUCCUCCUCCUCACCGGCGGCGGCGGCGGUUGGGCGAGCGGUCGAGGAGGUGCGUUCGGCGCUGAACGAGCACGCCGACGUGGUGGCGGAGCUCUUCGGCCGCGUCUCCACCGAGCUCCGCGGCGGGUUCGGCCCCGCCGUCGACACUUUCGUCGGCUUCUUCCACGCCGUCGACUGGAAGGAACCUUGGUUGAUCGGCAUGAUAAGUUUCCAUGCCAUUCUGCUACUGGUAACCAUCAUCUCCAGGAGGAACAUCAAUUUCCAACUUAUCUUGUCAGCCUUAACAUUUUCUGGUGUAUUCCUUGCCGAGAAACUAAACACGUUCCUAGGACAAAACUGGAAGAGCUUCUCAAGCCAGAAUUACUUUGAUCCCCAAGGCCUCUUCAUCUCGGUCAUGUGGUCUGGCCCCCUGCUUCUGAUUACGAUACUUAUUCUGGUGAACACCCUUGUGACACUCUGCAUGCUGAUGGUAAGGUGGAAAAGGGCCGAGCUCAAGCACCGCGCUCGUGAGGCCCGCAGCAAGCAGGAGUGAUGCUGCUGACAUGCCCUUGAACUGCGGAUCUGUUGUGCGGUAGGCGAUUAAGCUGCUGAUCUAACGGAGAAGUUUGAUUGGAACAGUAAAGUGUAAGAUUAAUUAGUCCUCGAUUUUGAUUGAUGGUCUAGCUUUUCGUCUCUGGUACCGAAGCACACGGUUUUACACAUGUAUUAGCUGCUGUUCGUCAAAUUUAAGGGAUAUGUUUGUGUAGGGAGCUCUGAAUGUUAUUUGGAUGGCUGCAGGAGCCAAGUUCAUCGUAUAUGCAUUGCUUUGGAUGAAUGUUA
rnacentral:rRNA from 1 species